AAGUCUGUGGUUGUAAACAUCCCCGACUGGAAGCUGUAAGACAGAACUAAGCUUUCAGUCAGAUGUUUGCUGCUACCAGCUUUU
rnacentral:pre_miRNA from 1 species